ACAACCGUAGCUCAGUUGGUUAGAGCACCACCUUGACAUGGUGGGGGUCGGUGGUUCGAAUCCACUCGGUUGUA
rfam:Agarivorans albus MKT 106 DNA, contig: contig00010.